GUGUAACUGUGGUGUUGGCUCGGCUCACUCAGAAGCUGAAAUAGUAGUGAUGAAUCUAAAUGGUAGCUAUGGCGUUUCUGAUUGAGCCGUGCCAAUAUCUUAGUACUCUUU
rfam:Sorghum bicolor cultivar BTx623 chromosome 1, whole genome shotgun sequence.